UAUUUUUUCACUUUAGUACCCUGUGAUUUAAAGUGUAUUAAGUUAGUAUCCUAUGGUUUCGCAUUUUCUUAUUUUAGUACUAUGUGAUUUAAUAUUUUAUUAAGAAAAAAAUAAAAUCAUAAGGUACUAACUUGAUACAAAAAUAAAAUCACAGAGUACUAACUUGAUACACUUUAAAUCACAGGGUAUUAAAAUGAGAAAGUGCGAAACCACAAAAUACUAACUUGAUACACUUUAAACCACAGGAUACUAAAAUAAAAAAGUGUAAAACUACAGGGAGAGUUUUUGAAGUUUUUCCUUGAAAAAAUUACAAAGAUUCUGUAGAUUGGUUCCAACUUGUUAAAAU
rnacentral:lncRNA from 1 species